rnacentral:lncRNA from 1 species
GGGGUUGCCAGGUAACAAGCCGCUUCUCUAGGCAUUGAGCAAUCAAAAGAAAAAGCAAGUGAAAGGCAAAGGCAAAAGAAAAGAAAAGAAAAAUCAAGAGAAAAUAAAGAGCUCACUACAAGGGAAGGCUGGGAAAAAGAAAGAGAGUUGUUCUUAAAGGAUAAAUUUCUAAAUGUCUCUCUUAACUCAAAGAACUUUGCUGACCAGAAAAACCAAUUUCUUUCUUAGCCCAACCAAGUUACAAGCCAUGAAAAGCCCUUGUUAUGAUAACCUGCUUAUGAGUAUGUUUGAUUGUGGUUAAAUGAAGGGUAAAAUUAAU